UUAAGUCGGAUGUGAAAGCCUUCGGCUUAACCGGGGUAGUGCGUUGGAAACUGGGAGACUUGAGUGCAGAAGAGGAAUGUGGAACUCCAGGUGUAGCGGUGAAAUGCGUAGAUAUAUGGAAGAACACCAGUGGUGAAAGCGGCUCUCUGGUCUGUAACUGACGCUGAGGUUCGAAAGCGUGGGUAGCAAACAGG
rnacentral:rRNA from 1 species